GCGAGGCCAUUGCAAGUAUUGGAGGGAAUACUGAGGGGGUGAGCGGUAGACGGAAUAACUGGGGGUAAAGCGCUCGGAGGGGGUAUGGUAAGCUGGAUGUGAAAGCCCCGGGAUAAACCUGGGAACUGCAUUUCGAACUGGCAAGCUAGAGUACAGUAGAGGGUGGCGGAAUUUCCUGGGUAGCGGUGAAAUGCGUAGAGAUGGGAAGGAACAUCAGUGGCGAAGGCGGCUCACUGGCUCGGUACUGACGCUGAGGUGCGACAGCGUGGGGAGCAAACAGGAUUAGAUACCCUGGUAGUC
rnacentral:rRNA from 1 species